rnacentral:rRNA from 1 species
UUAAGCGACUAAGCGUACACGGUGGAUGCCCUGGCAGUCAGAGGCGAUGAAGGACGUGCUAAUCUGCGAUAAGCGUCGGUAAGGUGAUAUGAACCGUUAUAACCGGCGAUUUCCGAAUGGGGAAACCCAGUGUGUUUCGACACACUAUCAUUAACUGAAUCCAUAGGUUAAUGAGGCGAACCGGGGGAACUGAAACAUCUAAGUACCCCGAGGAAAAGAAAUCAACCGAGAUUCCCCCAGUAGCGGCGAGCGAACGGGGAGGAGCCCAGAGCCUGAAUCAGUGUGUGUGUUAGUGGAAGCGUCUGGAAAGGCGCGCGAUACAGGGUGACAGCCCCGUACACAAAAAUGCACAUGCUGUGAGCUCGAUGAGUAGGGCGGGACACGUGGUAUCCUGUCUGAAUAUGGGGGGACCAUCCUCCAAGGCUAAAUACUCCUGACUGACCGAUAGUGAACCAGUACCGUGAGGGAAAGGCGAAAAGAACCCCGGCGAGGGGAGUGAAAAAGAACCUGAAACCGUGUACGUACAAGCAGUGGGAGCACGCUUCGGCGUGUGACUGCGUACCUUUUGUAUAAUGGGUCAGCGACUUAUAUUCUGUAGCAAGGUUAACCGAAUAGGGGAGCCGAAGGGAAACCGAGUCUUAACUGGGCGUUAAGUUGCAGGGUAUAGACCCGAAACCCGGUGAUCUAGCCAUGGGCAGGUUGAAGGUUGGGUAACACUAACUGGAGGACCGAACCGACUAAUGUUGAAAAAUUAGCGGAUGACUUGUGGCUGGGGGUGAAAGGCCAAUCAAACCGGGAGAUAGCUGGUUCUCCCCGAAAGCUAUUUAGGUAGCGCCUCGUGAAUUCAUCUCCGGGGGUAGAGCACUGUUUCGGCAAGGGGGUCAUCCCGACUUACCAACCCGAUGCAAACUGCGAAUACCGGAGAAUGUUAUCACGGGAGACACACGGCGGGUGCUAACGUCCGUCGUGAAGAGGGAAACAACCCAGACCGCCAGCUAAGGUCCCAAAGUCAUGGUUAAGUGGGAAACGAUGUGGGAAGGCCCAGACAGCCAGGAUGUUGGCUUAGAAGCAGCCAUCAUUUAAAGAAAGCGUAAUAGCUCACUGGUCGAGUCGGCCUGCGCGGAAGAUGUAACGGGGCUAAACCAUGCACCGAAGCUGCGGCAGCGACGCUGAUGCGUUGUUGGGUAGGGGAGCGUUCUGUAAGCCUGCGAAGGUGUGCUGUGAGGCAUGCUGGAGGUAUCAGAAGUGCGAAUGCUGACAUAAGUAACGAUAAAGCGGGUGAAAAGCCCGCUCGCCGGAAGACCAAGGGUUCCUGUCCAACGUUAAUCGGGGCAGGGUGAGUCGACCCCUAAGGCGAGGCCGAAAGGCGUAGUCGAUGGGAAACAGGUUAAUAUUCCUGUACUUGGUGUUACUGCGAAGGGGGGACGGAGAAGGCUAUGUUGGCCGGGCGACGGUUGUCCCGGUUUAAGCGUGUAGGCUGGUUUUCCAGGCAAAUCCGGAAAAUCAAGGCUGAGGCGUGAUGACGAGGCACUACGGUGCUGAAGCAACAAAUGCCCUGCUUCCAGGAAAAGCCUCUAAGCAUCAGGUAACAUCAAAUCGUACCCCAAACCGACACAGGUGGUCAGGUAGAGAAUACCAAGGCGCUUGAGAGAACUCGGGUGAAGGAACUAGGCAAAAUGGUGCCGUAACUUCGGGAGAAGGCACGCUGAUAUGUAGGUGAGGUCCCUCGCGGAUGGAGCUGAAAUCAGUCGAAGAUACCAGCUGGCUGCAACUGUUUAUUAAAAACACAGCACUGUGCAAACACGAAAGUGGACGUAUACGGUGUGACGCCUGCCCGGUGCCGGAAGGUUAAUUGAUGGGGUUAGCCGCAAGGCGAAGCUCUUGAUCGAAGCCCCGGUAAACGGCGGCCGUAACUAUAACGGUCCUAAGGUAGCGAAAUUCCUUGUCGGGUAAGUUCCGACCUGCACGAAUGGCGUAAUGAUGGCCAGGCUGUCUCCACCCGAGACUCAGUGAAAUUGAACUCGCUGUGAAGAUGCAGUGUACCCGCGGCAAGACGGAAAGACCCCGUGAACCUUUACUAUAGCUUGACACUGAACAUUGAGCCUUGAUGUGUAGGAUAGGUGGGAGGCUUUGAAGUGUGGACGCCAGUCUGCAUGGAGCCGACCUUGAAAUACCACCCUUUAAUGUUUGAUGUUCUAACGUUGACCCGUAAUCCGGGUUGCGGACAGUGUCUGGUGGGUAGUUUGACUGGGGCGGUCUCCUCCUAAAGAGUAACGGAGGAGCACGAAGGUUGGCUAAUCCUGGUCGGACAUCAGGAGGUUAGUGCAAUGGCAUAAGCCAGCUUGACUGCGAGCGUGACGGCGCGAGCAGGUGCGAAAGCAGGUCAUAGUGAUCCGGUGGUUCUGAAUGGAAGGGCCAUCGCUCAACGGAUAAAAGGUACUCCGGGGAUAACAGGCUGAUACCGCCCAAGAGUUCAUAUCGACGGCGGUGUUUGGCACCUCGAUGUCGGCUCAUCACAUCCUGGGGCUGAAGUAGGUCCCAAGGGUAUGGCUGUUCGCCAUUUAAAGUGGUACGCGAGCUGGGUUUAGAACGUCGUGAGACAGUUCGGUCCCUAUCUGCCGUGGGCGCUGGAGAACUGAGGGGGGCUGCUCCUAGUACGAGAGGACCGGAGUGGACGCAUCACUGGUGUUCGGGUUGUCAUGCCAAUGGCACUGCCCGGUAGCUAAAUGCGGAAGAGAUAAGUGCUGAAAGCAUCUAAGCACGAAACUUGCCCCGAGAUGAGUUCUCCCUGACCCUUUAAGGGUCCUGAAGGAACGUUGAAGACGACGACGUUGAUAGGCCGGGUGUGUAAGCGCAGCGAUGCGUUGAGCUAACCGGUACUAAUGAACCGUGAGGCUUAACCUU